CAGAUUUAGGGAGGACGUGC
rnacentral:miRNA from 1 species